rnacentral:ncRNA from 1 species
CUAUUGUUCUCCUGUCGCUGCCCAUCAGCGAUCGGGUUUAGCAGCUCGGAGG